rnacentral:piRNA from 1 species
UACAAAUGUCUCUGCAGAGCUAGUUUCUA